rnacentral:rRNA from 1 species
UGGCUCAGGAUAAACGCUGGCGGCGUGCCUAACACAUGCAAGUCGAACGAUCCCGCAAGGGAGAGUGGCGGAAGGGUGAGUAACACGUGGGAAUCUACCUCCUCGCAGGGAACAACCUCUCGAAAGAGAGGCUAAUACCCAAAAGGGUCAGAAAUGAUCAGAGUCGAAAGGCGUGAGGAGAGGAGCCCGCGGCCCAUCAGCUAGUUGGUGAGGUAAUGGCUUACCAAGGCUACGACGGGUAGGGGAUCUGAGAGGAUGUCCCCCACACUGGAACUGAAACACGGUCCAGACGCCUACGGGUGGCAGCAGUGAGGAAUAUUGGACAAUGGGCGAAAGCCCGAUCCAGCAACGCCGCGUGGAGGAUGAAGGCCUUCGGGUCGUAAACUUCUUUAGAGGGAGACGAGAAAGGACGGUAUCCCUAGAAUAAGCGACGGCAAACUACGUG